AGUGAACGCUGGCGGUAGGCCUAACACAUGCAAGUCGAACGGCAGCACAGGAGAGCUUGCUCUCUGGGUGGCGAGUGGCGGACGGGUGAGGAAUACAUCGGAAUCUACUUUUUCGUGGGGAUAACGUAGGGAAACUUACGCUAAUACCGCAUACGACCUACGGGUGAAAGCAGGGGACCUUCGGGCCUUGCGCGAUUGAAUGAGCCGAUGUCGGAUUAGCUAUUUGGCGGGGUAAAGGCCCACCAAGGCGACGAUCCGUAGCUGGUCUGAGAGGAUGAUCAGCCACACUGGAACUGAGACACGGUCCAGACUCCUACGGGAGGCAGCAGUGGGGAAUAUUGGACAAUGGGCGCAAGCCUGAUCCAGCCAUACCGCGUGGGUGAAGAAGGCCUUCGGGUUGUAAAGCCCUUUUGUUGGGAAAGAAAUCCAGCUGGCUAAUACCCGGUUGGGAUGACGGUACCCAAAGAAUAAGCACCGGCUAACUUCGUGCCAGCAGCCGCCGUAACAC
rnacentral:rRNA from 1 species